UACCCGCAGCACAAGUGGUGGUCAUUAUUAUUGGGCCUAAAGCGUCCGUAGCUGGCCUGUUAGAUGCCUGGGUAAAUCGAUGCGCUCAACGUAUCGACUUCCGGGUAGACCGGCAGGCUCGAGACCGGGAGAGGUGUAGGCUACUCGCGGGGUAGGGGUAAAAUCCUGUAAUCCUGCGGGGAGGACCAGUGGCGAAGGCGCUACACUAGAACGGCUCUGACAGUGAGGGACGAAGCCCUGGGGCGCUAACCGG
rnacentral:rRNA from 1 species